UACGUAGGGUGCAAGCGUUGUCCGGAAUUAUUGGGCGUAAAGCGCUCGUAGGCGGUCUGUCGCGUCGGCUGUGAAAACUCGGGGCUCAACUCCGAGCUUGCAGUCGAUACGGGCAGGCUAGAGUUCGGCAGGGGAGACUGGAAUUCCUGGUGUAGCGGUGAAAUGCGCAGAUAUCAGGAAGAACACCCGUGGCUAAGGCGGCUCUCUAGUACGGUACUGACGCUGAGACGCGAAAGCGUGGGGAGCGAACAGG
rnacentral:rRNA from 1 species